ACCGCAUAACAUAUUGAAGUCGCAUGACUUUGAUAUCAAAGAUUUAUCGCUUAGAGAUGGACUCGCGUCCGAUUAGCUUGUUGGCGGGGUAAUGGCCCACCAAGGCGACGAUCGGUAGCCGGACUGAGAGGUUGAACGGCCACAUUGGGACUGAGACACGGCCCAGACUCCUACGGGAGGCAGCAGUGGGGGAUAUUGCGCAAUGGGGGCAACCCUGACGCAGCAACGCCGCGUGAAGGAUGAAGGUUUUCGGAUUGUAAACUUCUUUUGUUAGGGACGAAAUUUGACGGUACCUAACGAAUAAGCUCCGGCUAACUACGUGCCAGCAGCCGCGGUAAUACGUAGGGAGCAAGCGUUGUCCGGAUUUACUGGGUGUAAAGGGUGCGUAGGCGGCCGAGUAAGUCAGAUGUGAAAUCUAUGGGCUCAACCCAUAAACUGCAUUUGAAACUACUUGGCUUGAGUGAAGUAGAGGCAGGCGGAAUUCCCUGUGUAGCGGUGAAAUGCGUAGAGAUAGGGAGGAACACCAGUGGCGAAGGCGGCCUGCUGGGCUUUAACUGACGCUGAGGCACGAAAGCGUGGG
rnacentral:rRNA from 1 species